rnacentral:rRNA from 1 species
UACGUAGGCAGCGAGCGUUGUUCGGAGUUACUGGGCGUAAAGGGUGUGUAGGCGGUUGUUUAAGUUUGGUGUGAAAUCUCCCGGCUCAACUGGGAGGGUGCGCCGAAUACUGAAUGACUUGGAGUGCGGGAGAGGAGAGUGGAAUUCCUGGUGUAGCGGUGAAAUGCGUAGAUAUCAGGAGGAACACCGGUGGUGUAGAGGGCUCUCUGGACCGUAACUGACGCUGAGACACGAAAGCGUGGGUAGCAAACAGG